CUACCCGGGUAUCUAAUCCUGUUUGCUCCCCACGCUUUCGUGCAUGAGCGUCAGUCGCAUCCCAGGGGGCUGCCUUCGCCAUUGGUGUUCUUCCAAAUAUCUACGCAUUUCACUGCUACACUUGGAAUUCCACCCCCCUCUGAUGAACUCUAGUCCUGCAGUCACAAAUGCCAUUCCCAGGUUGAGCCCGGGGAUUUCACAUCUGUCUUACAGAACCGCCUGCGCACGCUUUACGCCCAGUAAUUCCGAUUAACGCUUGCACCCUACGUAUUACCGCGGCUGCUGGCAC
rnacentral:rRNA from 1 species